rnacentral:other from 1 species
ACUUUCCUGGGGUGUUCGAUAACCUGUUAUUUUGAACCUACAUUUUCUUUUACGGGAGUCCAAGAUUUUGAAGUAGAUGUCAGGCCAUCAUUACGCAGUGGAAGGCAGAAGCUUCAUUGAGGUUACCCACCUAGCAUUGCUAGGAGUCAAAAUUGCAGGACCGGCAUUUUGGGAGUACU